GAUCCUGGCUCAGGAUGAACGCUAGCUACAGGCUUAACACAUGCAAGUCGAGGGGAAACGAUAUUGGAAGCUUGCUUCCGAUAGGCGUCGACCGGCGCACGGGUGAGUAACGCGUAUCCAACCUGCCCAUCACUUGGGGAUAACCUUGCGAAAGUAAGACUAAUACCCAAUGACGUCUCUAGAAGACAUCUGAAAGAGAUUAAAGAUUUAUCGGUGAUGGAUGGGGAUGCGUCUGAUUAGCUUGUUGGCGGGGUAACGGCCCACCAAGGCGACGAUCAGUAGGGGUUCUGAGAGGAAGGUCCCCCACAUUGGAACUGAGACACGGUCCAAACUCCUACGGGAGGCAGCAGUGAGGAAUAUUGGUCAAUGGACGAGAGUCUGAACCAGCCAAGUAGCGUGCAGGAAGACGGCCCUAUGGGUUGUAAACUGCUUUUAUAAGGGAAUAAAGUGAGUCUCGUGAGACUUUUUGCAUGUACCUUAUGAAUAAGGACCGGCUAAUUCCGUG
rnacentral:rRNA from 1 species